AGAGCGAACGCUGGCGGCAGGCCUAAUACAUGCAAGUCGAACGAAGCCUUCGGGCUUAGUGGCGGACGGGUGAGUAACACGUGGGAACGUACCCUUUGGUUCGGAACAACUCAGGGAAACUUGAGCUAAUACCGAAUGUGCCCCCAUCCUUAAAAAAAGAUGGGUGGGAAAGAUUUAUCGCCAUUGGAGCGGCCCGCGUCUGAUUAGCUAGUUGGUGAGGUAAAGGCCCACCAAGGCUACGAUCAGUAGCUGGUCUGAGAGGAUGAUCAGCCACACUGGGACUGAGACACGGCCCAGACUCCUACGGGAGGCAGCAGUAGGGAAUCUUGCGCAAUGGGCGAAAGCCUGACGCAGCCAUGCCGCGUGAAUGAUGAAGGUCUUAGGAUUGUAAAAUUCUUUCAGCGGGACGAUAAUGACGGUACCCGCAGAAGAACGCCCGGCUAACGUUCGCGCCAGCAGCCGC
rnacentral:rRNA from 1 species